GAAAGAACAACAAACUUAUAAGGUCGGUGGAAUUGCCUUGCCACUUAAUUGUUUUCUCAAGUAUAUAAACCGUGUUUAGGAUAAAUAUCAGUGCGUGUGAAUCUUUCUUAUCCGUGUUUCUAGUGCGUGUUUUGUUAUAGUGCCAUAUUAAACUCAGUUUUACUUGAAAGGAGGUAAUUAAAACUAACCUGUCUGAAGUUUAACUAGGCGAGUGUACUUGUUACGUUGAAAUACGAAAACUGACACACUACAAAAAUUUUAAUUCUUUGAAUUUAGGCAACUAACUGAAACAUUAGCAAGUUUGUAUGCAAAUGGGAUUUAUCUCGUACUAAAGGAGUGUGACACAGAAAAGGAGCCUGGAGCUAUUAAUGGCAAAAAUAUCAUUUGGAAUAGACGCGUUGCUGCAGAUUACUCCAUGGCAACAGAAAUUCAUCUAUCAGUAUCGAGAAUUGCCAUUCAUAUGAGGAAAGUAACCACGUGGGUAGUUAGAAACGUCUUCUCUUCCACCAUGUAAAGGGCGGCUUAAGAUAUUCGGUGCCAUACAGAAAUAGAGAAGUUCAUCGGUGUAAAUCGGUGGACUCGAAAUUGACUGCAGAUCCUCCGCGAAGUGCCAGCACCGAGAACGCGCAGGGAGCCGCGUUCUUGCGCGUCAUAAAUCCGUGGUCUUCAGUUUCAAUGGAAAUUCUUCUGUGAUGUUGGCGUGAGACGACAUUAACAAUGAUAUUAUUCUGAAGACGGAGAAAUACGAGUCGCCAGAGCACAUGCUGGAACCGCCUUCAUUUUACAUGGGGUUUCCUGAUCUUCAAUUGGUGAAUACGUACUGUUCUGCAUACGUAAGGAAGUACACAGCUGGUCUACCGUCGGUCGGUGAUGUGGAGUGCAGUGACAUUUCACCUCUGGCCUGCGGCAACGACACAACAUGAAUAUGCACAAGGUUCUGGUAUUCGCACACAUCUUCAAAUUUUAGAGGAGGUGAGUUGAAUCAGGAAUAUGACCGCCAUGCCAGACUCAUUUCUCCUGGAGUGGGUAUCCUUCCAGUACCAGAUGUGGGAUGCCCCAAUCCCAGAAUGCCUGGCGUCAUCUUCCGCCCGUAUCUAAUCAACAUUACUUUUUUCCUUCAUUACGUAAGUAGAUCGUAUUCUCCAAACAUUUCAAAUGGAACGAGUGACUUUGGGUGCAAUAUCUUCCAAUAAUUACAUUCUACAAACAUUAAUUAAGUAGAUUCACAUCCAGUAUUUCUUUCUGAGACGUUGUCUGUUGUCAGAGGAGAUUCUGCACUUUCCCAGACAUUUUAAUAAGUAGAUGUUGUUUGCAUAUUAAAUUCUACGAUGUUCAAGAUUGGUUAAGUGUGUCAUGAGUGACGUAGAAUUAUUUCUAAAAUCCUUAUUUAGAGCAGAAUGUAUCCAUCAGGACUAUAAGAGAAACAAGACUUGCUGACGAAACAUAGACUGAGCAAUAUGGGAUGAUGAAAAAUUUCGCUUCCAAAUAAACCGUGGCAGAUAAUUAAUUAACUUUUGAAUCUGAAGCUCGUCUGAAUAAACAACGUCUAUAAAAUUUAGUCCGUACCUUGAAGAAGAAACUGCAAAGUUCCUUUGCAAAUGUCGUCUACUUAACGCUGUUUGGGCUACUAUAAGAAUCGUACGAAACCCAUAAAUAUAAAUAAAUUUUGAGGGGCAGAAUGUGGAGUUGCUGAUAAUUGAGAGUACAGUUACCACUGAUUUUGUUCUGAAGGGUUAAUAACCCGUUGGAAUAUCCCUAUUAUCAAUAAGAGAAUUUCUUUGUGUUGAGAAUCACUGCUAGUAACACAGGUCGGUUCUAUUUUGCACCCUGCAAAAGAAUUAAUUUGUAUGUUAACAUUUUCAUGAGACUUGGGAAUGAUAGCAGCUCUGAAGUUGAAAUAACGUGAUCAAACUUUGUGAAACAAGAUCACGGUCCUUGUGUGACAGAACUCUUGUUGACCUGUCCAUUGUUUCAGGGAGUCUCACCUUGUUUUCCUCUUUUUCAACCUGGAGGGUCUCUUAAGGAUACUGUGGAUGAACAUACAAUGACCACGGCCCCAAAUCGCUGGCACCGCCAUCCCCCCCUCACCGCCCGAUAAAAUGACUGUUUAUAUCCAAUAUUUCAGGCAUAAAAACACACACAGCACAUACAAACAGGCAGGCAGUACUGCAGCGAUUCGCGAAACCACCCUCCCCCUUCCCAAUCCCCCAACCCUUCACCCAGCCACGUGAUAACAAUACAAUCAAUGACCGAAGCCUGUCACCAAUGUGAGCCAUUCGCCCCUCCCCUAACCACCCACCCCCCCUGUCCGCCUACUGCCGCCAACACAAAUUGUGUGGAGUGUUGUAUGUGGAUCGAGUGCUGGGGUGGGUUGUUAUUGAACCACCAGGUGUAGUGGUACAGUAUUUGCAGCCUGGACCAAGUUUUAGCAGUGUCCGGAGAGUUGGGUAUCGUACGGUCGUCGUCGGUCUGGUGACGACGAGCUGUCAAGACCGAGGAAACUUUCUGGAAACCCCCUACCCUCCUCAGCUUGAGAGGCUGCUCCGGGAAGAGAGAAAUCCGAGUCUAUUGGCCAACCAUCAGAUUUUACACUACACGAUCAUCGAGAAAUUGCCUAAAUCAUCUCAUUUUGUCCCAGUCUAGCUGAUGCAGCAUAGUGGCGUAACAUGUCUCUAUAUUCAAUAAGUUGAAGAUUUCUUCCAUCCAGAAUUCGCAUCAGCGGAAGACCAGAAAUCUGUCGUCCUGGAGACGAUGCUUCUGAAGGUAUCAACUGCAAACACACGGAGAAGUGGCUGAGUAUUUUAUCGGUGUCAUUCACAACAUUAGUUAUUUAUUUUAUAAAAUAAAUUAUGUAGCACAUGUGAUGUACAUUGUGACCACAACUUUAUAAAUCAGUGAAGACACAUCAAGCGCGAUGAUACUAAAUCCAGGACACUCGAGUAGAGUCCUUGAUUGGUUAGACUAGUGUAAAAUACUGGACGGAAGGCGUAUCUUCGAACAAGUUGCAGUCCGGGCCCAGAUGAUAAGCUUUCACUGAUUUGUGAGCACAAAGCACCAUUAUACAUUCAUUAUUCUGUAAUGUCGUGUAUUAAGACACGUAAAUCUUUAAACACAUGUUCUUACAUACAUGCACAAAUAGUCCUAUGCUAAAUUUCCUUCGAACGUCUUCGUAACUACAUCAGUAAAGUUUGACUGUGUAGUUCUUAGGUGAAAUAAAUUGUUGGUAUUUUUAAUAACACAAUUAAUAAUAGUUAUUUUUUAAAUGAGUCCUGCUAGCGAAAUAUUUACGAUUCUUAUUAAACACGUAAACAGUGAAAUUUAUUUCACAAAAGUAGGAAUUUGCUGUUAGAUAUUGUGAGAGCCUAAUUACGUAUUCACUUAGUAUUACUAGGCCUAAUAUUCAGAUAGCGAUAAAAAGUUUUUCAGACCCUUCAAGUGGUCAGAACUUUCAUCGUUCAAUAGGCUUAUUCCUUACGAUGUUCGUUUUGCGUAGCUGUAAAGAUUUGAAAUAUAUCAUAAAAUUUCUGCAAGAAAUCAAUUUCCGACCCACCGAUUAAAGACGUGCCACCUUCUCUGGUGUACACACUACGGUCCAGUCAUAGUCGGAAGCACACGAAUUGCAUACCUUUAUAAGCAAUGGCAUCUUAGCGAAUAAUGUUAUAAACGUCGAGUAAAAAUAAGAUCUUAGCUUGGUUUUACAAUCGCUGAAAAUAGAAAUUACUUGUCCUAUGAAUAAAAUUUGGUGCAAUACUAACUUAAAUUUUAAAUUUCAUUUAACAGUAACAGAAUAUUUCACCAAGUUCUUAUUAAGUCCGUUGCUCAAUGUUUCUGCCUCAUUCAUGUAUUUAUUUCCUUUUAACUACACGUGUAUUAAUUUACGUGUCUAUUUAUUAAGCCCUAAUUUUUGCGAAAUUUUAUUUCUUACACGUGUUUUAUGAGAAAAUAAUUAAAGGAACGUCAUAAUCAGGGAAAUAUAAUUUUUCGCCUUCUUUAUUUCCUGGAUAACUAAAUGGACGCUAUUUUCGGAAGCUGGCUCAAUAACUAACCACAGAUUAAAAGAAGCUCUAAGGGGUUCUAUUACUAUGUAUCCUCAACACACCUUCAAUAAAAUGUGUUACAAUUCUUUCAAAAACGUAUUAUUAAAAGGCUUGUUAAUUAUGCAUAAUACACCGACGGAAAGUAAUUU